UACGAAGGUCCCAAGCGUUAUCCGGAUUUAUUGGGUUUAAAGGGUGCAUAGGCGGGCUAUUAAGUCAGUGGUGAAAGCCCCAAGCUUAACUUGGGAACUGCCAUUGAUACUGAUGGUCUUGAGUACAUUUGAGGUGGGCGGAAUGUGUCAUGUAGCGGUGAAAUGCUUAGAUAUGACACAGAACACCGAUUGCGAAGGCAGCUCACUAAACUGUAACUGACGCUGAGGCACGAAAGCGUGGGGAGCAAACAGG
rnacentral:rRNA from 1 species